ensembl:lncRNA novel transcript
UCUUGGAUUUCCAGCCUCCAGAACGCAACAGUUUACAAGCCUGGCCAACCCCAUCAGAAAAUGAAAAAGAAACCACCAGGCGAAGUGAAAGCAGUUCCGUGUGAUGCGGCCGCUCACUCAGAGCUAUGCUGUGAUCCACCAGAUGGGCUCGCGCUGAUGGGAGUCCGGUUGAGUCCUGCUCAGCCAAUGGCAGGUUGUGUGCCACGGGCGAGCUACUUCAUUUCUCUGGACCUGUUUCCCCAGAUGGCUGGUCGCAAUAAUGACGACGAGGCGGAUGGCGGCGGGGAGGCUAGAGCCCAUUUCAGAAGCCUGCAGUGAGGAUUCCACCAGUUCACAUGCAUCGGGCACUGAGCCCUGAACCGCACCUAAUAAACACUCUCCCAGCUAUUAGUAUUACAAACCUGAGAACGGGGGCCAUAUCUGGGUCCUCCUCCUUUCCAGAUGUGCGACCUUGAUUGAAAGUCACCAGUUCCCUGGGGUUGCUCCAUUUGCAUAGUGAGGGUCUCAGUGACACUUGGGGGCCCUUUUGGCUCUAACAUUUUAUCAUUCUAAUAAGUGUUGAUAUGAAGAGCCAUUCUUUGCAAGGAGUAGGGCCACAUUUCGGACAUACUGCAGAGAUGUGAUGGUCCAGCAGAAGCGCAGCCUUCCCCUUAUGCAUUCACAUGCUGGAGCUGGAAAAAAGCUGGAGGAAUCCAACCCAUUCAAGUUAUGAGGAAGAACCAACUCUUUUCAGUCCACCCAGCUGGUGAGAAGCAGGUGAUACCACUGGUGGAUGCAUGGCUGGAUGAAAACUCUAGAAACCAACAACCUCAGUGACUGAAGGAAGAUGAGUUGGACAAGAAAAAGUGAAAGAGGAGCAGCUAUGGUUCCCGCUGGAAGGAAACGGAAGACUUCAGUUCUCUGGAGGGAGCUUCUCCCGCAGCAUACAGGUUCUUGCUGGAACCCUGUUGCAUUUCCUCUGUAGGACACACAGGUUUAUCUAAGCUGUGAAAGCAACACAGAGAUAAGACCCAUGGUGUUUUCCUUGUUAGAAAAAAGCUGUCUACUUCCUGUCUGGAGAAACCAGGGACACUUGAUUUUGAAGGGACUUCAGCAAUGUAAGCACAAAAUCAGCCCCUUCUCUUUAAUUUAAAUUCCACCCUUCUCUUGGGUGACGGCUGUUUCUAAGUUAUUUAAAGAUUUAGAAAGUAGCUAGAAGGUCACUGGGUUUGUGGCGGCAUUGGCUUUUAAGCUUGUGCAAUAAAACCACAUUCGGCUUGUUCCCUAAGGUGAGGGCAGAAAUGACUGGACGGAAUGCCCACCUGCCCAUACAGUUUGAAGAGAACAGUCCAAGUUCUCAAAUAGUUCGAAACCUUUUAAGAAAUCAGAAAUAGUAGGAAACAUUGCAUCUGAAGUCACAGAAUAUGUUAAUAUUAACCCGUGUGGCUGGAAUAAAUGUGCAAGCUGAUGUGUUAAUCUCUGACGUAUUUGGAGAUAUUUCCUUUAUGUAAAUAAUUUAAACUGUCCACAAGAUAACUUCA